AUUGAACGCUGGCGGCAGGCCUAACACAUGCAAGUCGAGCGGUAGCACAAGAGAGCUUGCUCUCUGGGUGACGAGCGGCGGACGGGUGAGUAAUGUCUGGGAAACUGCCUGAUGGAGGGGGAUAACUACUGGAAACGGUAGCUAAUACCGCAUAACGUCUUCGGACCAAAGUGGGGGACCUUCGGGCCUCACGCCAUCAGAUGUGCCCAGAUGGGANAGCUAGUAGGUGGGGUAAUGGCUCACCUAGGCGACGAUCCCUAGCUGGUCUGAGAGGAUGACCAGCCACACUGGAACUGAGACACGGUCCAGACUCCUACGGGAGGCAGCAGUGGGGAAUAUUGCACAAUGGGCGCAAGCCUGAUGCAGCCAU
rnacentral:rRNA from 1 species